UACGAAGGGGCUAGCGUUGCUCGGAAUCACUGGGCGUAAAGCGCACGUAGGCGGCUUCUUAAGUCAGGGGUGAAAUCCUGGAGCUCAACUCCAGAACUGCCUUUGAUACUGAGAGCUUGAGUCCGGGAGAGGUGAGUGGAACUGCGAGUGUAGAGGUGAAAUUCGUAGAUAUUCGCAAGAACACCAGUGGCGAAGGCGGCUCACUGGCCCGGUACUGACGCUGAGGUGCGAAAGCGUGGGAGCAAACAGG
rnacentral:rRNA from 1 species